ACAGCAUGGUGGGGGUAUUUUUUAAUUAGUUUUUUCAAUCUCUUCCAUGUCUCAUUAAAUAUCUCCUCAUCCAACUGAAAAAAACUAGUUAUGGCCUUAUGGAUUU